rnacentral:lncRNA from 1 species
GCUCUUCCGGAGGUUCAGUCCCCACAUGGCGGUUCAUGACAGUCUGCAGCUCCAGGUCUAGGAGAUCCGAUGUCUUCUUUUCACCCCCAGCUUCCUGCAUCACUUGGUACACACAAAUUCAUACAUACUCCAUAAUUUUUAAAAAAUUAAACUCUUAAAAAUCAUAAAGACAGUGGUUAAGGAAAGAUACUCAGCAUCUUCAGAUGAAUUCUUUCCACACACAUUAACACAUUACACACUUACAGCAGAUAGAGCACACACACGUUAACACAUUACACACUUACAGCAGAUAGAACACACACGUUAACACAUUACACACUUACAGCAGAUAGAACACACACUAAAACAUUACAUACUUACAGUAGAUAGAGCACACACUAACACAUUACACACUUACAGUAUACCAUACACAUUAACCCAUUAUACACUUACAGCAGAUAGAGCACACACUAACACAUUAUACAUUUACAGUAGAGCACACAUACAUUAACACAUUACACACUUACAGUAGAUAGAGCACACACACAUUAACACAUUACACACUUACAGCAGAUAGAGCACACACACAUUAACACAUUACACACUUACAGUAGAUACAGCACACAAUCUAAACUAUAGCAGACCACAGGCCUGGAGUCCUAGGACUCAGAAAGUCACAGGUUGAAGCUUGUGUGCACUCUACAACAAGGCCUUGUCUAAAAAAAAAAUGUGUGUUUGUGGCGUGGGCUGGGGUAGGGGUGGUGGGGGAUCUGCCCUAACUCACACAAGGUAUCAG